rnacentral:rRNA from 1 species
AAAUUGAAGAGUUUGAUCAUGGCUCAGAUUGAACGCUGGCGGCAGGCCUAACACAUGCAAGUCGAACGGUAGCAGGAAGAAGCUUGCUUCUUUGCUGACGAGUGGCGGACGGGUGAGUAAUGUCUGGGAAACUGCCCGAUGGAGGGGGAUAACUACUGGAAACGGUAGCUAAUACCGCAUAA